ACUCCUACGGGAGGCAGCAGUGGGGAAUAUUGCACAAUGGGCGCAAGCCUGAUGCAGCCAUGCCGCGUGUGUGAAGAAGGCCUUCGGGUUGUAAAGCACUUUCAGUCGUGAGGAAGGUAGUGUAGUUAAUAGCUGCAUUAUUUGACGUUAGCGACAGAAGAAGCACCGGCUAACUCCGUGCCAGCAGCCGCGGUAAUACGGAGGGUGCGAGCGUUAAUCGGAAUUACUGGGGCGUAAAGCGCAUGCAGGUGGUUUGUUAAGUCAGAUGUGAAAGCCCGGGGCUCAACCUCGGAAUAGCAUUUGAAACUGGCAGACUAGAGUACUGUAGAGGGGGUAGAAUUUCAGGUGUAGCGGUGAAAUGCGUAGAGAUCUGAAGGAAUACCGGUGGCGAAGGCGGCCCCCUGGACAGAUACUGACACUCAGAUGCGAAAGCGUGGGGAGCAAACAGGAUUAGAUACCCUGGUAGCACAGAG
rnacentral:rRNA from 1 species